rnacentral:snRNA from 1 species
UAUGAUGGCUGAUGAUGGAAUAACGGACGAGAGCAAGGCUAUUACUGGUGGGCAAAGCGAAGCAGAUGCAGGGGGCGUGACAAUGUGCGAUGUCAACACCGUGAAAGCCCAGACGGC